UUGCCAAAUCGACGAUAUGAACGCCACGUUCAUGCUUUGCUAUAAUUUCAUGUUUUGCUUCCAUCGAAAUCAUUUUCUUGGGUUUUUUCUUAUCACCUGCUUUGUCUUUAGCUUUGAGACCCAUGGUUAAUAAUAAAAUAGACAAAAUAACACGAAAAAUAGGCGCAAAUACAACGAACUAAACAACGACGUGUUAACAUGCAGCACCAACAAACAAACAGACUGAACGCCAUUUAUCGGUCGCCUAUACAACUAACACUCAUCGCAAAAUCGUAUCUCAAAUAUUUCGUUGUAUAUCAAAGCUUAUAUUUUCGCAAAUUUUCUGUUGUAUCUCAAAACAUUCGUAUAUUAGGGCAAUCGUAUGUCAAGGUUCCAGUGUAAUUUGAUCAGAGAGAGGAGAGAGAGAGAGAGAGAGAGAGAGAGAGAGAGAGACGCCUUGGCGGCAACAAUGGUCUCGGGGAUUGACGUAACGUUUAUUUUCUGAACAGAUAGGACAGAGAAGUGUUAGUUUCAUUAAACGGCCUCGGACUCAUGGCAGGAAAUGUUUUGUUGAUACUAAUAUAUAAGCCUAUUUAAAGAUACGUUUACUUUAAUUAGUCUAUAUGAUACGUAAAUAGUAAUCAGCUGUUCUUGUAGCCCUCAAGAUUUGGCAAAAUCACUCCAGGUUGAACAUAAAACUUCAAGAAUGUAGUGUCACCAGAGGAUUACAAUAGUUUUUACCUUCAAGAACCAGCAUUCUUUUAUGAAAAUAACUCCAGGUUGUACAUAAAACUACAGGAAACAACAUGUAGUAUAACCAAAGGAUUACAAGUAAGGUUUUUAUAACUUUUUAUUAGUUUAAGACAUAUUUCCAAGCGUCGUUCCGGCUUACGACGAUUUUCGGCUUACGACGUGUCUCAAGAACGGAACCCCCGUCGUAACCCGGGGACUGCCUGUAUAAUAAUUAAUAAUGUACAGUAAACCUCCUUACUGUUCUGAGAUAAGAAUGUUCAACUCUUAAGCAUUUUAUCAAUUUCUUCAGCUUAUUGAGGAUGAGCAAACUGAAUAUUGUUGUAGAUAUACAGGCAGUCCCCGGGUUACAACGAUCUCGGCUUACGACAUUCCGAGGUUACGACGCUUUUCAAUUAUAUUCAUCAGACAUUAUUUCCAGGGUUACGACGCAUGUUCCAGGGUUAUGAUGCCUACAACGCUCAUCUGGCAGAUGAAAUAUGACACCAAAAAUGCAAAAUAAUCAAUAUUUGAAGGUUUUCUUUUAUGAAAAAUGCCAUAAGAAUGCAGUUUACAAAGUUUUCAAUGCACCCAAAGCAUUAAAAGUAAGGUUUUCUUAGGAUUUUUGACGAUGUUCCGGGUUACGACGAUUUUCGGCUUACGACAGGUUUUUCCUUGGACCACUUCUCAGUCUAUAUAUCGCUGGUAUGAAUCACAGCAUCCAGGCUUGUGGUGGUAGGCUAAGCCUCGUCUGGUUCCGAUAACCAACAAAAUGCAUGAACAGAUUCACAUUAUGAUAUUAACUGCCUGUAUAUGCAAUGCCUCUGUAAUUACCACAUUCAUUCAGGUCACCUUUGGUAUAUAUUAUGACCUCCAAUGAUCGUCAAGCGUUGUUUCUUCAUAAUAUUUUCUGCAAAAUAGUAGUCUAAUUAGUAUACAAGUCUUUUCAUAAUCAGCUAGAAUUAUUCUAUGUACUGUGAUCAUAGUGCAAUGCUUUCUAGCUCCUAAUUUUCUUUAUUAUGGAUUAUAUUAAAAAAAACUAUGUAUAUUCAUGAGUGUAUUCAGGUUUUCCAUGUUAACUUUUUGUAAAUCUGCUUUGACUUGCAACUUGAGUUUUCACCUAUUCCCCAAGUUUUCACUUAAUAUUAGAGUCCUAAUUUUAACUGUCAGUGAAUAACAAAUCUUCACUAAAAAUACAACAAAUUUUAGUCAGACUGCACAGUUUUUGUUUUACUCGUUGCCAGGUUUUAAAAUUAUGUAUCAUAUAUUUAGGAGACAAUUUUAUGCCCCAAACCCUCAAACGUUUAUUAUUAACACUGGUCUGGUUAAAAUCAUGUUGGUACACUAAUCUUUAAAAUUUUAUUUUUGACAAGUUUUAGCUGAUUAACAUUUGCAUCAUUGUAUUUUAUAGGUAAGGAAAGCAGUCUUACAAGAUUCUGGUGAAGAGGUUGAUGUUUGGAUAUAUCUUCUGCAUCAUUUCAAACUUCACAUGUUGGAAUUACCUUUUUUGAGGAGUUACCAGCACGAUGGUGAUCAUGGUUUGAAAUAUGUUGCCAGCGAGGAUGAUAUAUCAGAUCCUGAUGAUAUUUAACUUUUGAAUAAAGCAGUCUAGUACCUGCCCUUCAUUUUUAGAAUAUUGCAAAAUGGCAACACUGAAUAGGGAUUUCUCUGCCUGUUAUAAAUUUUUUAUUUAAGCUACUAUUAACUAAGCUAAUUAGCUUACCAAGCUGUUGUAAACAAAUUUAUUUUUAAAGUUUAACUCAAUCAAAUCAAAAUAUUGAAUUUUAUUGGAAUACUUGAUUCUUCUAUAGGUUACGUAUAAAAUUUUUCAAAUUACCAGUUGUUACAAAUGGUGUCCAAGUACGUAUAGUGUGGCAAAUGUUAACAUACUGAUUAUUCAGUAAAUUAGGUCAUGCAAUGUUGUGCUUACAAGUAAAAUCUGUAGUUCAUUCAGUUUUAAGAUUCCUAAAAUAAAACUUCAAAGGAUAACAAUAUAUUUUUAUUAUCAAAUAGAUUCAGUCAGUGCAGUAUUUAAUAUGCUUAUUUCAUAUGACAAAACAAUGGGAUAAAUACAUUGCCAAACAUUGUCCCUCUAACUUGGAAUGCUUAAGGUAUUUUCUGGCAGCACCUGGGGAAUUUUCUUGCAUAAUAAAGACUUGAAUUCCAAACUUUCAUGUCUCUAUAAUAUAGCUUUUUAUAAUAGAAAAAAAUUUGUAUGGCAUUAACUACUUAAAUAAUGAACUUAUCAAGUAAAAUUACAAAAUGUUACUGUUUAGCAGUUCUCAAUUUCAAAAGGCUUCUAGUUCAGAUACUGCAGUGGGUUGUUUUGAAUAAAUGCCAAUAUUGUACAUAUUCACAAGCAAGCAGCAAUUAAGUUUUAUUUUUUAUUCUGGUUAAUUCAAACUAAUGUCAUGACUUCUUUUUGUUUAAAUUUUCACAACCUUGUACAAUAGUUUCUGCAUUGUUAACUAAACCUUUAUUUAAAAAAAUACCUUCACCCAAAGGCAUAAAUGUACUCGUAGUAUGACAAGACAAAGAAGUCUCUUAAUGGCCCAUGUGUUUACUAAACUGAAUUAAACUUACACUAUCAUUAAACAAUAAUGUAAGAUAACCUUCUAGGGUAAUUGUUUCAGUACUUCAAAUCACUUGAAACUACGUAAGAAAUGUCAAUAACUAUCAAGAAUCCUCAUGCUGAGCAAGGCCACAGAGGGUUCAUAACUAUUGGUGGAAAAUUUA